CAGCUUCUUCAGAAGACUGGCUUGAGGCGGGAGGGAGAAUAAGCGGACCCAUAAAUUUUAUUAGAUAUUUGCCGCGGCGGGCACGAGGGCGGCCGACACGCCGGAUUAGACAGUGUGUUUAUUUAAGUCCAGAUUUUUUUUUUUUUUUUUUUUUUUUUUUGUUCUCCGGUUUUGCAUGCUGUUUUUUUUUUGUGUUUAGAGGGGAGCAAUCUUUAGAGGUCAUUUUUUGUUUAAUGAAAUUGUAUAUGUACGUUAGUACAGUACAGCGGUGUUUGUGACAAGUAUGAAUGCGUAACUAUUUUUGUCGUUUUGUUCUAUUUUUAAUUCCACAAAAAUCUUUUCAAUCAUGCCUGUUCUCGAGCCGAAACAAAUGUGACUCAUAAAUGGAACCGCAGACCUUCGUAUCCAGCCUCUCAUACCGUUUUGGCAUCUCCUUGUUAUCGUCGAAUAUCCAAGAUUCACCAAUUUCAUCAACAAAACAUACUAAUUCCUUGAGGAUACUUACGCUUUCCUCAUGUCUGGCAUUUAAUCAAAAAUAUUUUAUGAAUCGUUUUCUCCUGUCUUUUCGUUCUUCUUGCUUAAUAGUCUUCUUAGUCUCCUUUUGCAGAUAUUAAUGAUUUUUUCCCUCAAAACUUUACUGAUUCAAAAUUUCCUCAACUCUCUUUCAGGACUUUUUAUCACGGUUAUUAUCGAAAUGCAUUGUGGAAAUAUUAACGCUCCUAAUCCCCAGCUGACAAGGAUUAUUGUUCUGGCUAAUUGCCUCCUGACGUUUAUAUAAUUGUUUCCAUCCUUACAGUCAGGUCGAAGUUUUCCAUCCUAUCCUUCUCGUUAUCCAAAGGAGGAAAAUCACUCUAAUCCCUCGGGCUAUCAACUCUUACCUCUGAUUUCUUGCCAUUCCAAAGUUUUCGAGACUUCCUUUCACAGAUAAUAAUGUCAUGUAUAUGUGGCUGCCGUCCUUCUUACCUAUUAGCAUAACUUUCAUACUCUGCUUGCGGUUUCAUGAUUUUUGUCCCUUGGGUAGUUAGGCGAACUAUUUCCUCUUUUAUUAAACAUCCUGAAAAUUCAAUUGUCUUGCGUGAAUCUUCUGCACAUUCGUUCUUUCUCUACAUGGCUCACAUCCAGGGCGGCCUCUUGCUGCCGUGACCGAUUAUUAUUAUUCUUUUCAAUAUAUGUAUCAAGUGCAGAUGUUCUACCACCCUCAGUUAGGUCUCCAGGUAUUUUUCUCACAAGCUCUAUACAGUCCAUAUGUCUUAACCACAGUUAUAUAUUAUGUGUGGUGCCAUGUAGCUGAUUUUUCCUAAUAAAUAAUCCAGUGCAUGUUAUUUAGUUUUGAAGUUUUAGGUUUGUUUGUCCAAUUAUGAAAGGAGGGCAAAAUGAUAUCCUGGGUUUGCCUUGUAAGAUAAUAUCAAAAUUUUCUUGUAACAACUUCUGGACAAGUCAGUUCUCGUCUUCAACAAUUUUUCUUCCUCCCCAGGUCUAUAUAGCAGCCUCGCCCGCCUCUUCACCAGGUGCACCGCCGAGUGAGGGAGUCCCGCCACCGCCAGCACACUUGUCAGUAAGGUCGUUGCUGAGCCUCUGGAUGAAGGUCGCCGGGCAUGUCGCCGCCUGCAUGGGGAGAAGCAGCGGACGGGAGAUGAUGUGUGGGGCGCGGCAGGCCUGAGCGUGACCCUCCUUGUCAGGCCGCGGGGGUUGGACUGGACUGGACGACGCUGCAGCUUCCUGGACCACAACAAUUACAGAUGGAGAGGCGAGUGUGAUCCUACCUGAUGAGCCGCCAGCAUCGGGGAGGGCAGCAGGGCACGGGGCACCAUGGUAGGUCACGGGCAGGCUUCUGGUCCUCCUCACUCGUUCCUCGUGUGAUAUUCCCAAGAAUGC